GGGUUCUGGGCAGUUAAUCAUAUAAUUUGUCCACAUGGAAGAUAUGUUUCAAGCACAUUUUUUAACAUCAACACUUCUUCUGGAAGUAUCACAGUCUCUUCAGGAAUUUCUAUGAGAGUCAGCUCUGGACAUCAAGAUUAUGUAUGAUUCUUUCCAUUACAUUCUAGGCAAGCAGAAAACACACAGUGACCACCGAGUUCGUGGCUUUGGUGCUGUUUAGAUCGUGAUCAUGGUAAUUAAGACCCAAGGCCCUUCCUCUGCUGUGGAAAGAAAUGUCUUCUGGGGGAAGAGGAGACCCAGAAACAGAAACUAUCCAAGAAAAAAAAUCUGAGUAAACCAGAAGACAGAGCAGAAAGCAUUUUCUGUGAAGUAAAUGGCGAAGUACUUCCUUUCUGACGAUUCCCGGAUGUAAUACUAUAUUGGAAGAAUUACAUGAUAGAGCAAACUUCGAAAAAUCAGAACGUUUUAAAAAUCAAAGAAUAAAACCUGCAGAGGCAGCGAUGGACCCGUUCAUUGGAUGUGUUUCUGCCUAGGACAGACUUUUAGCCCUUUGAAUGGAGACUGCUUUCUACAUUCUUGACUUUAAUCACUUUGCUGUCAGGGCCCAUGUGAUUUAAACUCAGUGGUCAUCUCACAGCUUUUCAUAUAAGUCAGUUCCUCGAAUUCAUUGGGUGAAUGGCACCAAGUUUUGGUUUUAGGCAGUUGCACACCUUACUAAAAAACCAUGGGGACUAAUAGAAGAGGGAAAAAUCUCUGUUAUGUAUUUUUAUCCUGUUUGAUUAAUUUUCCAUUCAGUGCUUAAAACACAUUUUGAUCUGUCAUGAGAAAUUCAGACAGGAAGAGGGAAGAGGCCUCGGGUAAUAUUUUUACUCUACUGAGUAUGCAUGACCAGCACUAGGAUGAAGAGAAAGUUUUGUCCUCUGCACUGUCUUUGGACUUCUUAUUCAUCUUUCCCUCACAUCUUUCCCUCACCUCCUUGCUGUUCAGAGCCUCCUGAAAAAUCCAUUAUUGUGGCAAUUUGAACAGCAUGUUCUAAUUAUAAGAAAAUGUUUUUUUCUUUUGUAUUAAAAGUCAUGAGAGAUAAUUUUUUAAAAAAUUUCUGACUUGGAAACAGUCUUCAAUUUACAGAAAAAUUGCAGGUACAGUACUAAGAAUUCUUCUUCUUUCUCUCUCUCUCUCUCUUUUUUUUUUUUUCCUGCUCUGUACCAUUUGGGAAUAAGUUGGUGGUAGGAUACUUUAUCAUACCCAAAACCUUAUUGUAUAUUUCCUACAAACAAGCACAUUCCCUUACAUAACUACAAUGUCAUCACCAAAAUUAGGAAACUAACAUUGCUUUAUUAUGAUGCUUUAAUUCUCAAAAUCCAUUCAAGUGUUGCCAAAUGUCCUAAUAACAUUCUGUAUAGAAAACCAAAUCAGAAUCCCACGUUGCAUUUAGUUAUCUCCAGAGACUAUGUCAAAUCAGAACAGUUCUUUGGUCUUUCCUUGAUUUUUGUGACCAAGGCACUUUUGUC